AGCAGGAGAUGUUUGCUUAAAACUAAACCAGUACCUUCCACACUGUAAUUUUUUAACUGCUAAAGUCCAGGGAGCAUUAACCAAUUUAUGCAUUCAGCCCAAAGAGCAGGAGAAUGAAGAGUGGGUCCUGAGAACUGGAGGUUCCUUCAAUGCAAAGAAAGUUUCUGGGAGUCUGAGCUCAAGCCUGCAUUGCCCUGCCAUUUGAGAGAUCUGCAAAUAAAAUUACUGAUGGCGAAGGACUGUGUCUCUUAAAGAAAGGAGAAAGGAACUCAUAUAUUUGAUGAGUAUCUAAAGAGAACUGAAUAGGUUUAUUCUGGAGGUGAUAAUUGGGAAGGUCUGUCCCCAUGCCGCCAGGCACCAUGGCCAGCCGAGCAGAGUGCUUUGACUUGAGAAUUUCAUGAGCAAGGCAGAAUAAGCCACUCAGCUUCUGUGCAAGCAAAGCCAAGCAACAGCAUUAAUUAAUGUGGAUAAGAAGAGACAGGCCCUUGUUUGUAAUUAGGAGACUCUGUGGACCUUGUUUUCUUCUCCAGUCUCUCUUAAACGUGAUGAGAGCUGUGACUUCCAUGGGGUGAGUAGUUGCCCACCUCUCCACCUCCCUCCCCUCAGCCAGCUGAUUUCCAGCCCUGGGAUCUGGGGUACAGGAAGAUCAGGUUUACAUCCUAAUCCCUAGGAAACUUCGCCUCAGCUCACUCAGUUCAUUUCAACCAAAAGGUGAAAGGAAACUAAGAGUUAGCUGAUGCCAAAAAAGGCAGUCAGACCAACACAAGCCAGAACUGAGUUAUGUCACUCUGGGCUUUCUGCACCGUUGCCGCCAUUAACACCUGGAAGGCCUUUGAUUCUCACAUUAGCAAAACAUGCCAUAAAGCAUGAGCUUCCCUUCUUCCCACAGAAACACUGGCCCCUUUGCAAGGGGGGAGGUGGGGCAGUGUCACAAAGGCAGCUUUCAGCCCUAAAAGGCUUUCCUGAUUAGGCCUCUGAGGAGAGACUUCCACGAAGUCUUCUCACAGGAAUUUGCAGCCUGUUACAGCCCAGAUUUCCAGCAGCUUCUAAAGGAAGGACUCUUGGAAUGUCUGAGCCCAAAAGGACAGUGCAGAUUAGUUGGUCAAAUCACCUUCUUUUAUAGAGAUGAAAAUGGAUGCCUCAGGUGAAGAAUUUAAUUUUCAGUAUGAAUUUUUCUGACCACCUUGUGUCAAACAGGAUGCAAAAUGUUGAGGAUGCAAUGAUCUCUAACUUCAUCUCAUUCAGAAGCGGAGACUGUCUAUCACGUGCAAGAUGCAGGGAACGUUUACUAACUACCACCAAAUACAGCAGAGCUGUGAAUAUAACGACAGCUGCAGGUUCCUUGUUAGGAAGUGCAAAAUAGGAUUACACACACGCACGCGCACGCACACACACACACACACGCUGUCUAUACAAAUAGCUAAGGUAGCCAAAUAAUAAAAUACCUACCUUUCAAAAUAGCUACACAUUUAACAUUCAAUCAUGUGUAAAGUAUAUUAAUUUUUCUCUGCUCAUUUCCCGAUGCAAGUUUAUUUGAACUCAUCCUGUCGCCUCAGUGUUAUGUCUUCCUCGUCAAUCAAAGCGCUCUUUGAGUCACCUAGUGCAUCUCAUCUUUAUUUCUAUUUGGGUUUGAGAGGCAGCUCUUCUUGAAUAUUUAUAAAAGGUUGUCACUGGAA